rnacentral:lncRNA from 1 species
CUCUGGAAGAGGAGCCAGUGCUUUUAACCUCUGAGCCAUCUCUUCAACCCUCAUCUAGCAACUGAUGCUGCGGUGAUGCAGGCUUUAUUCUAGACUCUUUCAUGUGGCAGGAUCUUAUGAGUUCAUUUCAUCCCAGGACUGAGUCUGAGUCCCUUUGGGAAAUGUCACUGUCUACUGAAAUACUAAAAUGUAAGCCUGGAGUUAAGAUACUAACAAUAUACUGAGAAGAACAUCACUAAAAACCAUGUGUUUUUGUAAAUAUAGCAUUGUUAAAUGAAUAUGGUUAUACUACUUAGUUAUUAUUCAGAUUAAAUUGUAUUGCCUAGAGAGAUUGAAAAGUUUCUUGGCAUUCUCAAUAUAAGAGUAAAGAAAGGGGCUGGAGAGAUGGCUCAGAGGUUAAGAGCACUGACUGCUCUUCCAGAGGUCCUGGGUUCAAUUCCCAGCAAUCACAUGGUGGCUCACAACCAUCCGUUAUGAGAUCUGGUGCCCUCUUCUGGUGUGCAGAUAUACAUGGAAGCAUUCAUAAUAAAUAAAUAAAUAAAAAUCUUUAACAAAAAAAAAAAUUUAACCUCAAACAGUGGGCAGUAGUGGCACACACCUUUAAUCCUAGUACUCAGGAGGCAGGAGGAUAUCUGAAUUCAAGGCCAACCUGAACUACAGUGUGAGUUCUAGGACAGCCAGGGCUGUUACACAGAGAAACCCUGUCUCUAAAUAAAUAAACAAAUAAAUAAAUUGAAUAUCAAACAUUGCAAUAGGUGUGUCACAAAAAUUUAAAAUCACCUUUAUAUUCAUUAACAAAUACAGCAGAGCAAAGAGUGACAGGCUUGGUGACAUAUAUGCGCCUUUAAUCUCAGCACAUGGAAGACAGAGGCAGGUAGAUCUCUCUGUGAAUUCAAGGCCAGCCUGGUCUACAUACUAAAUUCCAGGGCUUCAUAAUGAGACCUUGUCCCAAAAAAAGAAAGAAGAACAGAAAGAAUGCUAGGGAAAUGAAGAAGAGCAGAGCAAAUCAUGUAAGAUAUUAAUGUAGGCUACAACGUGAGCAAUGGUAAGUUGUUAUUACAACACCCUAAGGGCCCUUAGAAAAGCACAACCAAAAAUGACAGGAAAUUCCAAACUGAAAGAAAGCUCACUGAGUUGGCAAUUAUAAAGGUCAGGGAGGGUCAAAGGGCAAAUUGGACUUUAGCAGCCACUACAUGGAAGGGACAUUAUAAUCCAAAGAAACAGCUUGUCCAGGACUCAAAGGCAGGAAAGUACAAGGUCCAAACUGGUGGGGUUGAUGGUGGGGUGGGGAAGCAAGAGUGGAAGUCCACUGCAUUACAGAGAUUUCUGAGGACCUGGGGAGGCUUUUGUAGGGAAUUUGAAGCAAAUAUUGUGAUAAAACAAGAAGUUAAAAACAG